AUAAAAUUUUAAUCAUACACAUUCAAUUUUACUAUACAUUUUAAUUAUCUAUUUCAUCAUAAUAAAUUAUCUUGUAAUUCUACACACUCCAUCUUUCUUUUUAUGGUAAUGUGUAGGGGACAAAAUCCUCGUAUAAU
rnacentral:sRNA from 1 species